rnacentral:tRNA from 1 species
GCCCCUUUAGCUCAGUUGGUAGAGCGCAGCACUCGUAAUGCUGAGGUCGCUUGUUCGAACCAGGCAGGGGGCA